CGCCCCAAAACUCCAGUGCCCCCCCCGACUCCCAGUGCCCUUCCCAGUAACUCCCAGUGCCCCCCCCCACAACUCCCAGUACCUCCAGUCCUCCCAGUACAGCCCCUCCAGGUCCCAGUAAAACCCCUUGGUGGUGUCCAGCUGCUGCCCCUGCCCCCCUCCCAGUAACUCCCAGUAUAGCUGCACCACCUCCCAGUUCCCUCCCAGUACCCCCCCGGUUCUCACCCAGCACCCCCAGUCCCUCCCAGUACCCCCCAGUAACUCCCAGUGCCCCCCAGUCCUGCAGCACCACCUCCCAGUUCCCUCCCAGCACCUCCCAGUUCCCCUUCAGGACCCUGCAGCUCACUCCCAGUCCCUCCAGUCCCUCCCAGUUCCCUCCCAGUACCCCCAGUGCCUCCCAGUUCUCCCAGUUCCCUCCCAGUCCCCCCAGUGCCUCCCAGUUCUCCCAGUUCCCUCCCAGUCCCCCCAGUCCCUCCCAGUUCACUCCCAAUCCCCCCUGUCCCUCCCAGUUCUCCCAGUUCCCUCCCAGUCCCUCCCAGUUCUCCCAGUUCCCUCCCAGUGCUCCCAGUGCCCCCCCCAAUACCUCCCAGUAUCAUCCAGUUCCCUCCCAGUGCCCCCCCAGCCCCGCUGCAUCACAUCCCAGUCCCUCCCAGUGCUCCCAGUACCCCCCCCAAUACCUCCCAGUAUCGCCCAGUUCCCUCCCAGUGCUCCCAGUACCCCCCAAUACCUCCCAGUAUCGCCCAGUUCCCUCCCAGUGCCCCCCAGCACUCCUGCACCGCAUCCCAGCCUCUCCCAGUGCUCCCAGUAUACCCCCCAGCACUUCCCAGUAUCAUCCAGUUCCCUCCCAGUACCCGCCCAGUAACUCCCAGUGCCCCCCCAGCCCUGCUGCAUCGCAUCCCAGUCCCUCCCAGUGCUCCCAGUAUACCCCCCAGCACCUCCCACUAUCGUCCAGUUCCCUCCCAGUACCCCCCCCACUAACUCCCAGUGCCCCCCCAGCACUCUCGCACCGCAUCCCAGUCCCUCCCAGUGCUCCCAGUGCCCCCCCAGUNUCAUCAUCAUCAUCAUCAUCAUUGUCAUCGUCAUUGUCAUCGUCAUUGUCAUCGUCAUUGUCACCGUCAUCACCACCAAGCUCACUACCAUCAUCAUCGUCACCAUCAUCAUCGUCGCCAUCCCCAUUGUCGUCACCAUCAUCGUCACCAUCAUCAUCAUCACUCUCACCGUGGUCACCAUCGUCACCAUCAACCUCGUCACUGUCGUUAUCGUCACCAUCGCCAUCUUCAUCGUCAUCAUCAUCACUGUCACCAUCACCAUUGUCACCGUCAUCGUCGCCAUCAUUGUCACCAUUGCCACCAUCGUCACCAUCAUCACCAUCAACCUUGUCACCAUCACCAUCUUCAUCAUCGUCAUCAUCAUCACCAUCAUCGUCACUGUCAUCAUCAGUGUCACCACCAUCACCAUCACCAUCAUCGUCACCAUCUUCAUCCUCACCAUCACCACCAUCAUCAUCGUUGUCACCAUCGUCACCAUCGUCACCAUCGUCACCACCAGCCUCGUCGCUGCCGUCAUCGUCACCAUCUUCAUCACCAUCUUCACCAUCACUGUCACCAUCGCUGUCAACACCAUCGUCAUUGUCACCAUCAUCACCACCAACCUCGCCACUACCGUCAUUGUCACCAUCAUCGUCACUAUCAUUGUCACCAUCAUCACCGCCAUCUUCAUCAUCAUCGUCACCGCCGCUGUCCUUGUCAUCAUCAUCAUCACUGCCACCAUCGUCAUUGUCACCACUGUCACCAUCAUCGCCACCAACCUUGUCACUGCCAUCGUCACCAUCACCAUCAUCAUUGCCACCAUCGUCAUUGACACCAUCAUCGUCAUUGUCACCAUCAUCAUCACCAUCAUCACCAUCACCAACAUCAUCACCAUCACCACCAUCAUCACCAUCAUCACCUUCAUCAUUAUCAUUGUCAUUGUCACCGUCAUCACCACCAUCAUCACCAUCAUCACCAUCACCAUCAUCAUCACCAUUGUCACCAUCACCAUCAUCAUUGUUACCGUUGUCACCGUCAUCAUGGUCAUCACCAUCAACCUCGUCACUGUCAUUAUCACCACCAUCACCAUCUUUACUGUCAUCAUCGUCACUGUCAUCGUCGUCACCACUGCCAUCAUCAUCACCAUCAUCAUCACCAUCACCAUCAUCACCUUCAUCACCAUCACCAUCAUCACCAUCAUCAUCACCAUCAUCAUCACCACCAUCACCAUCUUCAUCACCAUCUUCAUCAUCACCAUCAUCACCAUCACCAUCUUCAUCAUCAUCACUGUCAUCAUCACUCCCAUCAUUGAUUGUCACUCUCAUCACCGCCAUCACCAUCACCAUUGUCACCAUCACCAUCAUCAUUGUUACCGUUGUCACCAUCAUCACCGUCAUCACCAUCAUCACCAUCAACCUUGUCACUGUCAUUAUCUCCACCAUCACCAUCUUCGUCAUCAUCACCAUCACCAUUGUCACCAUCGUCAUUGUCACCAUCGCUGUCAUCACCAUCACCAUUGCCACCAUCAUCACCACCAACCUUGUCACUACCAUCAUCGUCACCGUCACCGUCUUCAUCAUCACCAGCAUCAUCAUUGCCACCGUCAUCAUCAUCAUCACCAUCACCAUUAGUGUUGCCAUCACCAUCAUCAUCACCAUCAUCACCAACACCAUCAUCAUCACCAUCAUCACCAUCACCAUCACCAUCACCAUCAUCAUCAUCACCAUCAUCAUCACCAUCAUUGUCAUCACCAUCACCGUCUUCAUCAUCACCAUCAUCAUCAUCGCCAUCAACACCAUCACCAUCAUCACCAUCAACACCAUCACCAUCAUCACCAUCAACACCAUCACCAUCAUCACCAUCAUCAUCACCAUCAUUGUCAUCACCAUCACCAUCUUCAUUAUCAUCACCAUCACCAUCUUCAUCAUCAACAUCACCACCAUCAUCACCAUCACCAUCAUCAUCAUCACCAUCAAUGCCAUCAUCAACAUCACCAUCAUCAUCAUCACCAUCAUCACCACCAUCACCGUCAUCAUCACCCUAAUCACCAUCACCAUCAUCAUCAUCACCAUCAUCAUCAUAAUCACCAUCACUGUUAGUGUUGCCAUCAUCACCAUUGUCAUCACCAUCGUCAUCAUCACCACCACCACCAUCACCACCAUCAUCGGCAUCAUCAUCACCAUCACCACCAUCAUCAUCACCAUCAUCACCACCAUCACCGUCAUCAUUACGAUCAUCAUCACCAUCAUCACCGUUGUCACCGUCAUCAUCAUCACCAUCAUCACCAUCACCAUCACCAUCGUCACCAUCAUCACCACCACCAUCAUCAUCAUCAUCACCAUCUUCAUCACCANNNNNNNNNNNNNNNNNNNNNNNNNNNNNNNNNNNNNNNNNNNNNNNNNNNNNNNNNNNNNNNNNNNNNNNNNNNNNNNNNNNNNNNNNNNNNNNNNN
ensembl:lncRNA